rnacentral:lncRNA from 1 species
AAGCCAUAGCUCGAAGCUUUUGUUUCGAACUUCAAAACCUCACUCAUGGCACUCUUUAACACCACCUGAUAGAGAUUUGGCAAGUGAACCAAAAUUAUCGAAGUAAUAAAUAAGAUCGAAUCCACAAGGACCGUUGUUAAUUUCUACUCAGCAAUUUCGUUAUCGAAAGGAUGUAUUAAAUUCAAUGGUUUGCCCUAGGCAGUUGGAUUGGUUUUUAUAAAGUAAACGUAAAUAAAACAAUAAAAGUUGGUUUUAUGAAUAUUAGAGAGAAGUAUGGUUAAGACCUUCGAAUCCUCCGAAGUUCUCCUAUGGUAAUUCGCACUCCUACUUCAAUCAAUGAUUAUCUAGUUCAACGACAGAUUAACAAAUUAACUCUACCCAAUCUCUUGACCUAGAGUUCUCCCCGCAAGUAACAACCCCUUAAUCUCUUAAGUGAAUUCGAAACCAUUGGAGGUUUUAACAGAACGUUAAUCCCUAUGUCAUAACCUAAUAAUGAUCUAUCUCUAGCUUGAUUACUUAGGUUAAACUUAUUACCUAGAUCAGAGUCAAAAGCCAGGAUUAGUGGUCAUUCAAUCUCUAACAUCAAUUUGCAUAUUCAUAAAGCUAGGGUUAGUAGUCAAUGAUAAACAAUAUAAAAAGCAUUAAACACAAAGUAAUAUGAAUAAAAACUAGACUUUCAUUGACAUUCAAAGAGUUCAACAAAUUAGAGUUCCCACAAGAUUACAUCAAAUUCAUCUAAGUCUCAGCCACAAAGAAAAUUUAGGUAGACAUGAUUAAAAGAAUAAACAACAUAAUAAAGAAAAUAAACGAAUUUCGUUGCCGUAGGCGUUGCUCCUCAGUUUAUAUCCAACGGUGCUGUUGUUCUCUUCUAAUUUCCAUGUGCUUCCUUGCAUGAUGUGUGCGACUUCUAUGGUUCCAAAACCGUGAUUCAAUUCUCUCCAAAACGUGAAUGAAUUUCCUCCUUUAUGUUGUGACUUUUAUAUCAUUCAUUGCCUUCAAUUCUUCUCUCGGGUCAAACAACUUUGCUUUUGGUCAAAAGCCCAAAUUUUCAUUUAAUUAUGCAUGUAAGAUAUUUCUUCUCAUACCUUCAUUAUUUGCUAGGCUAGACAAAUGGUUCAGAACUAGUUGUUACUCAUUAAUAUGUCACCUUAUUGGACCAACAAAUAGUAAAAUAUACUACUUGACUUAAUAAAUCAAGAACGACAAUUUAUUCAAAAUUACUCUAAAUUAAAUACUAAAAUAAUAAUAAUAGACUAAAAACUUAAUUAAAAGACUCUAAAAAUAGUGAAUGACGGACCGUAAUCACCACCCAAAUUCGAACCUUCAAUCCCCUCAACCCUCAAAAACCAACACACCCUUUUCCUUCUUCCCAUCUUUCCUUCUCUUUUCCCUCUCACUUCACCUCCAAAUCCCUCAUCGCCACCACCAACAUCAACAUGCUCCAAGCUCAUUCUGGCGACUUUGAACUCUCAACUUUAACAGCUUUAUCCCCAUUAGAUGGCCGUUAUCGUCAAAAAAUGCAAGAAUUAACUCCUCUCAUGAGUGAAUAUGGUCUUAAUUACUUUAGGGUCAUUGUUGAGGUACACCCUUUUUUAUUUUCUCAUUCUUUGAUGACCCUUUUGCUUAAAGUACUCUUUAGUUUUUUCUAAUCUUUUUGAUAACUUUUGCUUAAAGAACUUUUUUUACUUUGAGAACAAGGGCAAGAUUAAAUAUAAUUUCAACUCUUCAUGAAACUACUAAGGGUGGGGUUUAGCAUGGGAAAGGUGAGUUGUUUCCCACCAUGAGAAAGAUUUUUAUGACCAUUCGAUUAAAGAGGUGUGCAUAUUUUAUAAUAGAUUGUCUAUAUUAUAUUUUUUUUCUUUCUUUUCAUAUUGUCUUCAACCCAUGAAUACCAUGAAUACCAACAUUUUAUAGAGAUCUAAAAUCCAUGCUUUACCAAAGCCUUUCCAGGUAACAUUAAUAAACCCAAAAACACAUUGAUUCUUGGCCUUUUUUUGCAAGAACCUAAAAACACAUGUAAAUAAAAAUUACCAAGUCUAAGAAUAAAAAAGUGUGGGAACAUUGAUGAACAAAAAAUCAAGUUGAAGACAAACAUCAAAAUUUGCUCACGGCAAUGGUUUUAAUUUUAUUUACUGGGUGUUUUAAGAACAUGAUGAAGAUGGAGUCAGUGGUGGUCAAUAACUGGAAUUUGAGAGGUUGUUGUUGGAGGUAUGAUGGAUGAGUAGAGUCAUGGAGGAAAGAGAAGGAUGAUGGAAGAUAAUGUAAAAAUAAUCUAGUGUUGAGGGACUAUGAUAAUAUUAUGUUCCUUACAUAAUCUAAUGGUCAUAAAAAACUUUUCCAUGAUGAGAAACAAUUCCCCUUUCCCAUGCUAAACCUCACCACUACCAAGACUUUGUUUGGAAGUUUGGAGGGGAGGGGAAAAAAAGACUUUGGAGAGUUUGAAAUAAAGGGGAAAAUGGUAAAAAUAUUUCACAUUUUUUGAAAGAGAAACUUUUUAGAGAAUGUUAAAUUAAUACUUAUGAUUACUAUAUUUUUAAUUUUAAGAAUAUUAUAACAACAUAGAUUAAAUUGAAAAUUCAUAUAGACCCUCCAAAACCCUCAUAUAAUACAAUUUUGAAUAAUAUUAGCAACACUCUAUUUUGAAUACUCUCUAGAAUAUUCACUCUCUUAUUGGUUUAAAUCAUUGUGGGUCUACAUCUUAUUGGUUUAAAUCAUUGUGGGUCUAUACUUUGAAAAUUGAACCCACACAAAUUGGUGAGAAUAUAUUGAUUUCAUUCAAUAAAAGAGUGAGCGAUAAAGAAAGUGUUGAAAAAUGAAUGUUGCUAACAUUCUUUUACAAUUUUUUAUAUUAGUUUUAUAUUAUGAAAAAAAUUAGGUGGCAUUUAGCCUGGGAAAAAAAACUGAAAACUUUUUUCCCACCAUGGAAAAGUCCAUUUUUCCAUCACAGCUGUCAGUUAUAACCGACUAUGUAAAAAAAAAAAAAAAACUCAAUUUUGUUUUUUAAUGUUAUUUGUAACAUUACUGCUGCACCUCCCAUUUUUUCACAACAACACAGGGUAUAUCUCACCCAGUUUUAGUACCGAAGCAUUAAAACAUCAAUUCUUCUUCUUAAACAUUCCAGAACAAUGCGACAUAACAAAACCCAGGAAAAAAAAAAGCUUAACAUAUCCGAAGUAUACUCUCCUACUAUUGUUCAGUUGAAAUUUCAUUUUAAACAUCAAUUCUUCUUCUUCUUCUUCUUUUGUUCGAUUACUUAAUAACUUCAACAAUGGUAGUUUUGAGGAUGCCAUAGUGUUGUAAAUAUGGAAUUGAAGAAAGAAAACAAAAUUACAGGCGGUGGAAAAUAGAAAUUGUGAAUCCAGGAAUACCCACCUACCCCUUUCUCAAAAAAUUGAAAUUGGAAAAGAGAUAAUAAAGCCAAUUGAAGGAACUACAAGGUAAAUAAAUAAAUUAAAGGCUUAAAUAAAAUUGAAGUUGGGUGAAGAAGAAGUGAACAUGGUGUUAGUGUUGGUGAUAAAAGGUAAUAAUCUUGAGGAAGAUGGUUUGGUGAUGGUGGCGACGCCGGAGAGGAUGAGGCAGGCGGCGAAGAGGAGGAGAGGAGCGAUCGGCUUGUCUGAGAAAAGCCUGAGGAUGGUGGUGGCUGGUGUGGAUGGAGGAUGCGGUGGUGGUGGGGUGAAAGAGAGUGGUCGUAAGUUCAGAGAGAGAGAGAGAAGAGGAGGAUGAAAGAAAGUGUGUUGGGGAUGCGAGAUUACCAAAAUAGCCCUAAUGCUGAAACAAUUUUUUAAAGCCCAUAAAUUAAUAAAAAAACAAAUAAAUCAAUAAAACAAAUGAUAAAUUGUUGUUUAAUCAAUGGUGGGGUCGGCUUUUUUUUUUUUUUUUCCACCAUGUAACCAUAAAAAAGUUACAACAAUUACCAAGUCAUAGAUCUAAGCCAUUCAAAUAAAAAACUAUUAAAUCAAUGAUUGUGGUUAAACUUUCUCAUGAUGGGAAAAAACUUUCCUUUCCUAUGUUAAACCCCACCAGAAAAUUAACCCCCCAAAACUCUUUUCUCCCAUUUUCUUCUAUUUCUUGCACUUGUUCAUUACUUUUUUUUUCUUCUAAAAUCACCCCCUCUAUUUUCCUCUAAACUCGCAAACAAGGCCUAAGUAACCAAAUUUUAAUUCAUAGAAACACAAUAUUCAUACUCAAACCACGUUUAAAAAAGAAGAGAAAGUAAUUUUACAUUCUCUCUCUGUUUUUUUUUACAAAAUUUUACUCUUCUUUACUCACUAUUAAAACUUUACCCAAAUUUGUUAAAAAAAAAAACUUUACCCACUUAGUUAAAAAAAAAGUAAAUGAUUAUUUGGGUCUUUGACUCUACACCUCGUUGUUACAAAGUUCUUUGACUCAAGAUUAAAUAAAGUAGUCCCUAUCCUAAAUGUGCAAUUAUGUUAUCAGUUUAGUCCUUAGCAUUAAAAUUUUAUGUUAACUGAUGAGGUGAUGUGUAUGAGGUGUCAGAUAGAGUGAAAGUAUAAAAUAAUCACUUUAAUCCUUGAAACCGAAAAUUAAUAUUCCUAAGAUGAAUCUCAAAUUCCUAAUGUCCGAAUCCUUAAAUCCCUAAAUUUGAUCUAAUUCCCUCCUUGUUCAAAAUUAUUUUUUGCUUUUUGGUAAUGAGUGGAGAUUUACUCAUGAAAAAAAGAAAAACACUAUCACACAACAAAGAGGAAAAACGAAAUAGGUUUGAUACUAUGGCCCUAUUUGGAUAAACAACUUAUAUUGAUGCUUAUAACAUUAGAGUUUAUAGCACUAGAGCUUACAUCAUAAGCUCUUGUAUUCAAUAAGCUCUUUAUGUUUGAAUAUGUACACUAAAAAGUACUUACGUAAAUUGAAGUGUUUGGAUGUGUUAUUAUAUAAGCAAUUAUGAAAUGAUAAAAUAUUUUUGAUUUAAAUUAGAGAAUCAAACCACAAUUUUUUUUAGAGUAAAUUACACUCCCCUCCCCUCAAAGAUGCUUGAAUUACGACCCCCUCCCCUCUUAUGUUAAAAUAUACACUCCCCUCCCCUCUUAUUCAAAACAUAUUAGAAAAUAUUCCAUUCCUCUGCUUUGAGAGAAGCUUGAAUUACAUUCCCCUCCCCUCUUAAGUUAAAAUCUACGCUUUAAUCCCUCAAUAGUUUUUUUUUUUUUUUCUAUUUAUAAAAAUCUAGCAAAAAAAUAAUCUAACACACUUCAAAGAAAAAUAGCAUUGCUGGUUCAUUUUAAUAUAAUCAAAUUUUGAAUACAUAUCUCUCUCUAUUUUUUAUUAACAAUUUCAUUAACAUAUAGUUUUAAAGCCUAUUAUAAAAUAUGAAACAACCCAAAAUAUUUAUAAAAUUACUAAAGUCGAUUAAGUAUGGUUAUUUAAAAGUGAAUUUUAUACUCUAAAUUAUAAAAUUAAUAAUAAAAGAUUUAAAUUUAAUUGUCGUUGACAUUUAGAUUAUAAAUAAACGAAUUUAUAUUAUUUAAAUGGUAUUUCAAAAUUAAAAUAUAUUAUAAAAAUAUUUAUUUAUGUUAAAAUAGAUUAAAGUGUAGCCCAUAUUUAAUUAUUAAGGGAAGGGGAUGUAAUUCAAACAUUUUAUAAGGGAGGGAAGUAUAAAUUUUACUUUUAAAGGGAGGAAAGUGUAUAUUUUAACAUAAGAGGAGAGAAGAGUGUAAUUCAAGCAUCUUUAAGGAGAGGGGAGUGUAAUUUACUUUUUUUUUUUAAGGAAUUAAACCACGAUCAUAAAGUUGUAAAAAGAACAAUAUUAAAAUAUAGUAAUAUUUUACCAUGCAUAUAAAAAAGAGUUAAAUAAGCUUUCGGUCCCUAUAAAUAUAGUCAAUUUUAUAUUUUAGUCCUCAUAAAAAAAUGACAUGUUUUGGCCCCGAUAAAAAAAUUCAGCAAAUAGUUUUAGUCUCUAUUAAAUUAAAAUUUGUUUUAAUUAUGAUUAAACUCUGAAACUUUUUAAGGUUUUUUUACAUACUUGUUUAGAACAUUAUAAUAAGUUCCUUCACAAAAAAUGUGUUCAAAAUUUGAUUUUUAAGCAAAAAAUUCACUACUUUUAUCUUGAAAUUUUGAUGUUUAAAAAAAUCAUAUUUAAUUCUUUAGAUGAUAAAAAGUUAUAAUUUUUGGGAAAAUAGUUUUUUUUAUAGUAUUCUUAACAAGUCUGUCAAAAAACUUUCAAAAAUUUAAAAGUUUAAGCAUAACUUCACAAAUUUUAAUUUAAUAAGGACAAAAACUAUGUGCUGAAAUUUUUUAUGGGAUCAAAAUAUGUCCCUUUUUAUAUUAAGAUUAAAUGAAAUUAUAUAUAUUUAUAAGGACCAAAAACUUAUUUUACCUUAUAAAAAAUCAUCAAUAUUCAAAUAGAACAAAAUAAACAUUAGAGAUGCAGAUAAAUAGUGGAAACAUCACCAUUCUUAAUAAGUGUAAUAAUCUAAUUACCCUUUAAAAAAAAUAUAACAAUGCAAAGAAAUAAUUAAACAUAGGUAAAAGUUUUAUAGUCCUAUAUCUUUGUUGAAAAAGUCUUUAUUUUCUUGUUGAUAGUUACGUCUUACGUGUGUUACUUUAUUACUUACAUAAAGAUAAAACAAAGAUAACUAUAUGGCUAAUCACAAUAAAAGAUUAAUUAUAUACAAUAAAUAAAAUACAGGUUUUGGAAAAAGUGCAGCGAGAGUCGAAGCACGUCCUCUCAUUUGUAUAAGCUGCGUAACAAGCUAUAUGUUAAGUUUAAAAUUUGAGCUUAUUAAAAUAUGACAUAAACAGUUUAUGAAAUUGUGAUAAGCUGAUUUUAUUGAUUUAUCCAAACACCUUUAAAAAAACAUAUGUUAGUAGACAAACCCACAUAAGCUUCGAAUAAGUCAAUCCAAACGGGGCCAUCAAAACUGGACAGGACAUUAAACCGAUAUAUGCAUGGGUUCGAAGUUCAAAGGUUCAAUCGGGGUCGGAUCGGGGUUCAACCAGUUUUAUAAGUUCUAUAUAAAAUAAAAUAAAAUAACAAAAUAUUCAUUAUUUAAACAAAAAUAUUUACGUUUUUGUUUUAUAAAACCUUGCCACCUUUGCUUGACAAAAAAAAAAAAAAACCUUGGCACUUUUUACUUUAGUCUAUACGUUUGGUUUUAGAUACUUUUUAAGCCCCCCUAUAUCUUUCUAGGCCCACAAAAAUUACAAUUUUAGCCUUUGGUAUGCAUAACACAGUGUGGUUCACGCUUCUUCUUUCCAAUUCACGUUUCAUUUGUUUCCUCCAGCCGAGAAUCGCCGGAAACCCAAACACCGUGGUUCACUCACUUCCUCCACCAAGCACCAGCUCGCCGGAAUCACUUCCUCCAGCAGCUCACUCUUCCUCUCGCCUCUUGUCAUCAAAUAAGGUAAGGUAAGCCAUAGCUCGAAGCUUUUGUUCCGAACUUCAAAACCUCACUCAUGGCACUCUCUAACACCACCCAAAUUCGAACCUUCAAUCCCCUCAACCCUAAAAAACCAACACACCCUUUUCCUUCUUCCCAUCUUUCCUUCUCUUUUCCCUCUCACUUCACUUCCAAAUCCCUCAUCGCCACCAGCAACACUAACAUGUUCCGACCUCAUUCCGGCGACUUUGAACUCUCUACUUUAACAGCUUUAUCUCCAUUAGACGGUCGUUAUCGUCAAAAAGUUCAAGAAUUAGCUCCUUUCAUGAGUGAAUAUGG